rnacentral:rRNA from 1 species
UACAGAGGUGGCAAGCGUUGUUCGGAAUUACUGGGCGUAAAGGGCGCGUAGGCGGUCCGAUAAGUCCCGUGUGAAAUCCCUCGGCUCAACUGAGGAAUGGCACGGGAAACUGCCGGGCUUGAGUUCGGGAGAGGGAAGCGGAAUUCCGGGUGUAGCGGUGAAAUGCGUAGAUAUCAGGAGGAACACCUGCGGUGUAGACGGCUUACUGGACCAUAACUGACGCUGAGGCACGAAAGCGUGGGUAGCAAACAGG